rnacentral:rRNA from 1 species
GAGUUUGAUCAUGGCUCAGAUUGAACGCUGGCGGUAUGCUUAACACAUGCAAGUCGAACGGUAACAUAGAGAGCUUGCUCUCUGAUGACGAGUGGCGGACGGGUGAGUAACGCGUGGGAAUCUACCCAUUAGUCGGGGAUAACCUGGUGAAAACCAGGCUAAUACCGGAUGUGGUCUACGGACUAAAGCAGGGGAUCUUCGGACCUUGCGCUAUUGGAUGAGCCCGCGUUAGAUUAGCUAGAUGGUGGGGUAAUGGCCUACCAUGGCGACGAUCUAUAGCUGGUCUGAGAGGACGAUCAGCCACACUGGGACUGAGACACGGCCCAGACUCCUACGGGAGGCAGCAGUGGGGAAUAUUGGACAAUGGGCGCAAGCCUGAUCCAGCAAUACCGCGUGUGUGAAGAAGGCCCGAGGGUUGUAAAGCACUUUCAAUUGUGAAGAAAAGUUAUCGGUUAAUACCCGAUAGCCUUGACGUUAACUUUAGAAGAAGCACCGGCUAACUCCGUGCCAGCAGCCGCGGUGC